rnacentral:lncRNA from 1 species
GCUUAAGGCCAUCUGGUUUAGGAGACAGGCUCUUCACUCUGAGGCCGCUAAUGAAUCUGACUCUUCCUGUCUAACUCCUCAAUAUCGUUUGCUUCCUAAACACUAAACGCGAGCUGUGUUUCCUUUCUCCUCUUCUUCAAGCACACAUGUUCAUUACCUGGAACUUUGGGGGGCCGUGCAUUUGUUGCUGUCCAGCAUCGGAUUUCAUUUUUAGCUCUCUGAGAACCUCAGAUGUUUUGACACCUUAAAGUAGUUUUGGGCCUCAAGUCAUCUAUGGAACCCUGAGGAAACUGAUGGCUGCCCAACGAGGCCUGCUUGCAGAGCUACCUUCUGCUGAAGGCAUUUUAAAAGCAAUUGUCUAAGAAUCCAGCUACAUGGAAAAUGAACUCUUCUGAAGACACAGUGUCCCCAGAGGGCAGCCAACAACCAAAGAUGUGCUGUUCGGUAGAGGCAGAUCCUGUGUGGUUUUAUGUUGGAGAGCGUGCCUUCCUAACUUAAACUCCAGUUCUCAGCUUCUGUCCCACUGUAUGGUCCUGGGGACCUGGGUCUUCACUUACCUAAAGUAGAGACAAUCCUAGUAGCUCGAAGAGCUGUCUGUCUCUGGUACCACCUGAGACAACGUUGGCAAAGUGUUUAGCCUAGUGCCUGAAUUAUGUGGAGUGCUCAGUGGAUGCUGCCUGUAACUAAGAGGUAGAGGCUUCAUGCGGCAAAGAAACCUAAGAGAUCAUCUAGUCACCUCCACCAGCUGAGCACAUGCCUCUCUGCAGCUGUACACAGCCACCCAACCAUUGGGUGACAGCUGCCUCUGACAGGAAGCAGGCUUCCACACUGCGCACUUUAGCAUGCUCUCGCCACACUUCUUCCAAGUCUGUUGAUGGUAGUGGGUGGCAAUAUGGCAGUGGGCAGUGAUGUGCUGCUUCAAAUUGCAUGGCCACUCAUUCAAUAAAUACUUGCUGAGCAGAUUCCGCUGUGCCAGAGGGAACUUUCAUCAUUGGUACCGUGCUAUGGUGUUCUUGCCUGGCUUGGCUACUCUGUCAUACAGCAAGCUGAGAAGUUUCCGGUGGGUUCCACUGCUUUAGCUAGAGGGAUAAGAGGAACCAUGUGGGUAGAUUUAUUUUUCGAAUAAUUCUCCCCAGAAACCCGUGUUGCUGUCUUUGUGGAACGAAUGGAUCUCAUCUGUGGUAUGGACUUGACCUUCUUCCCCCUCCCUUUGGACAGCCUCUGUGCCCACGUUGCUUGAAUUUGUGGGCAUGGAGAGACAAUUCAGAGCUAUUUCUAGGAAACCUGUGCUCUUCCCUUUGGCAUUUUGGAGAAAGAAAAAUAUUUUUGACAUGAACACAAUGUAAUCAGGUUGUAACACCCCGGACUUUGGUAGAGUGACACCAGGGCACAGGGAACGUUAUUUGGAGGACACAGUUUUAAACGAGCGUUUCCCGUGGAGGGCUCUUUGCUAGGAACUGGUUGGCUGGCUGGGCUUUCAGGGAUUUUUGGCUGAUGUGCAAAGGAGAAUGUUCUGCGUUUUCCCCAUUCUAUGCUGAGGCAGGCAUGUGGGCUCAGAGA